ACAGAGGGUGCGAGCGUUAAUCGGAAUUACUGGGCGUAAAGCGCGCGUAGGCGGUUAUGUAAGUUGGGUGUGAAAUCCCUGGGCUCAACCUAGGAAUUGCAUUCAAAACUGCAUGGCUUGAGUGAAGUAGAGGUGAGUGGAAUUUCCGGAGUAGCGGUGAAAUGCGUAGAUACCGGAAGGAACACCAGUGGCGAAGGCGACUCACUGGACUUUAACUGACGCUGAGGUGCGAAAGCGUGGGGAGCAAACAGG
rnacentral:rRNA from 1 species